GUGUUAUCUGUUUUGUACCUUCUAUAUUGCCAGGAAGAGCAGCAUCUGGUACGAAAACAGAUCUCAACACAGGAGUUUGAACAUGGUAAAUGACCAUCAAAUGUUCAGACCAAUAGAUGCACCCAGUGCUUUAAUAUAUUGUCUGCAAAACCAUCAGUAUCCCCAUUUCAGAGAUGAGAAAACCUGAACAGAGAAGCCUACAGCUUUAGAAUCCAGGAAAGAGGACAUCUUGGGACUUGUUUAUGGAAGGCUGAUAUAUUUGCUUUGCAUUCAGAAUUGAGAGGAUGCUGAUAUUAGGAAACUCAGGUGGAGAGAAAAAAAAUCAUGAUGAAACUGGCUGCUAACUGAAGCAAAGCACAGCCAAUUUAGCAAAAGGAACACAAAUUCUCAAAUGGGGAAGGAGGCAAAGGUGCUGGGACUGAAAAGGAAGAAAAAACAAAUCCAUUUAUGCAUGCUCAGAGAAUAAAGCAGCUUUUAAGCAUAUGUGUGGUUACUGGAAACUUGGCCUUCACCCAAAAUGCUGGGUUUCUAGAAACCUGAACAGUUUUUUUUUUUUUAAAAAAAAAAAAAAAAAAAAAAGAAUGAAAAAAAAGAAAGAA